CUUUCCUAGCAGGAUGAAGGCAUCUUUUUCGUUAGCUAACGUUAGCUGUCAAACAUAACGUUAGACAUGCUUCUGCUGGUCACGACAACUUGCCUUUACCAUUUGGAUUCUCAAAGCAGUUGGGAAAAAAUUGCCACCUUGGACGUCCAGAGCCUGAAGAGCCACAUUCCACGCUUGCCGAGACAUUUCCACAGCAGUGAAAAUAUUCCCACUGACCACUGACACCAAGAUCUUCAAGCACCUUCUUCAGCACAGCCACCUGUGAGCGAACAGAGCCACAUCCAUUGAGGAGCUUCUUGUAAUUCUGCUUCACACCACAGAGAGCGAUGUAGCGUUUCAGCCUCACGACUGCUUUGUUGUCAUCCUGUAGGAUGAACCCGAGGACGGAGACGGUGUGAAGAGAAGCUGCAACGUCUAUUCUUCAUCUCUACUCUACAGUUACCCAAUUUACACAUAUGUUUUGGUGAUCCAUUUUCAAAAGGUCAUCUUUGCUUUUCUGCCAUUCAUCUUGCACUUCAACUCUCGACUCCUCUCAAAGCACUGAGGGCAAUGAAAGGGACUUAGAUGCACCUUUACUCAAUAUGAAGAGUCAGGAAUCAGGAUAAAGGGCUGGACACUUACAGACAAUAUUUCAGCCACUCCUUUUUAAUGUAUAAAAAGUUGUAAAUUAAAUGAUUAACUUCUUGCUUUUAUUUAAUACUUCCUGCCGUUUGCUGCAGAAGAUAAAAAUGUUACAAAGCUCGA